AGGUGAACAGUAAAUAAAAAAAACUGUUGUUUUAUAUUGUAUAUUUUCUUUAUUUUAAUUUAUAUAUACAUCUUUUCAAAAAAAGAGAGAGUGCAUUGAAGAUACUCUAUUAAAAUAUUAUCUUGUUUAAUGGUGAACAGUAAAUAAAAAAAUUAUAUUUUAUCUUUAGUAAAAGUUUUCUCCACAUAUAGUACAGAUAGAAGAUGCAAAUGUCUCUUACUUUUGGUUAGUUGCCUCGGCUAUUUGAAGCUUUCUGGUUGUUUUAAAAUUCUCUUUAAUUUAGUUCAUGUCCUUAGAUUACUUUAAAAGAAACAACUUCAAGUCUCCAUACCCACAACUAUAUAUGCCAAACUACUUUGUUUCGCAGCAAAGAUAUUAAUAAAUUUUAUGCAAUAUGCUUUGUUGAUCAUCAAACAACUUUAUUCUUGCCUUUUUAAAUCAUGCCUCUCCUCUUGCAAUGCAGACUCCACUUUUACAUCUUUAUGUAUGCCUCAUCUUAGCUAGAUGCACUUUUCAUUUUCCAUGUCAAUGAUUAGAAAAUUGUUUUGCAUGCUCCAGGAUCAAGGGGCAUGGCCUUUGUUGAGACCUUGGAGUUCAAAUAGUGGGCUAAUUGGCAUGAAUUUUAUGAUUAGCAUAAUAUUGUUGAACUUUUAUUGUUACCCGUUUGGCCAUUGCUCGAUAAUGUGCAACAUAGACCAUAAAUUGCAGUCAACAAAAUCAUUAAAUAAUAUUAUAGAUACAGAGAACUAUAAACCUUGUAGUGUGGACUUGUCAAAACAAACAAUUGACGUGGUAUUGGAAAAAAAUAAGAUGUUUAGGGUGAAAUCAUUUGUAUACAAUGUAGGCGAUUGUCUUUUUGACUCUUUCCAGUUCUUGUUACACAUGCGAUACACUUCUACAGAGCUACGCUUUGGAACUAUUGACCAGUUUAUAAAUUGCCUAGAAAUCAAUGAUCAUGAUGCUUUAUAUUCAUACGGCCAUGAAGUCGACCCCCAAGGAUUGUAUGAAAUGCAUGGAGUAUGUGACGUUGACACUUAUCUACGACGCAUGCAUCUCCCAGCAAUUCCACUGCCAGGUUGUAAUGAGAAUGGGACAUUAGCAACCUGAAUUUGGCAGAUGCCAUGGCCCGAGCCAAGGUACUCGACAUUGACCUCCACAAGCAGCUGCGACCUUACAUGCAAGGCAUGCUGCCUCUUCCUGGCGUCUUUGACCCCGAUUUUGUAGCUGCAAACCAAGGUGAAAGAGCAAAUAAUAUUAUCAAGGGUUCAAAGAAGGAACAGGUGCAGCAAAUUGUUCAAGACAUUAGAUGUAGUUACAAUUGCCCUGGUAGAUAUGUAUGUAAAAUGUGGAAGCAUAGACAACGCACGGGAAUCGUUUGACAGAAUGCCUCGAAGAGAUGUAGUAAGCCAGACUCGACAACCUUUGCGAGCUUCAUCCCUUACCAUUGCAAAUGGGGAGGUUUACAAUAGGGUAUGGAUAUCCCAUUCUCUAUACUUGAGCAGAGCUUAUGGGGAAUGCCUGCUUGCAAAACAGCUGUAAAUUAUCCAAGUACUGAUGCUGUGGAGCAAAGGAAGGAUUUUUCUAGAGAAAGCUGUGCUGAUGUCUCAAAAAGACCAUUCAUAAGGGAAAAGUACAGGAGAAUAAAGGGUAAUCCAUCUAAUAGAAGUAUUGGCAAGUUGGAUAGCUUGAACAUGGCUCCAGGCAAACAAGAAUUGGGCAUAACAAGUCAAGACAAUUCUGAUGAAUUAUUUCCUGAACACAAUGGUAAUGUUGUAGACAAUCUACAAGUGUUAAGAGGGAUGAAUAAAACUGUAUUAGAGCCCAGUCCAUCUCCUGUUAUGAAAGCCCAGAAAAAUAGCGCACUUGUUUCUUCUGUACAAACUAUCUUUAGAAAUUACGUCGUUUUAUAAGAGUUGGUGUUCUCUGAUCAA